rnacentral:snRNA from 1 species
AGAGAUUAGCAUGGCCCCUGCACAAGGAUGACACACACAUUUAUGAAGCUUGCCAGAUGUUU